rnacentral:tRNA from 1 species
GCUCCUAUGGUGAAAUUGGUAAACACGGUAGCCUCAAAAGCUACUGAUUUAAACGAUCUUCUCAGUUCGAGUCUGAGUAGGAGCA